rnacentral:piRNA from 1 species
UACUAGCUUACGUGCCCUUGUUAGAUGCU